AAUAAAAAUGUUUCAUCUUCUCCCUUCCCUCUCUACUUCACUACCACUGAAUUCAAAUUUCCUGCCUCACCACCACUGCCACUGCACCUCUCUCCGCGCUCUGCCUCCCAUGCCUCCCAUGACUUGAGUUGGUGGCCUUGCCUAACUCACUGAGUAACUUGCUCCCAAUUCUCUCUCUCUCUUCGUUUCCUCUAAUAACCGUAACUUACCCCUUCCAUUUCGACCAAAAUCAAAAUGAGAUAUAAGUCCAGAGAGAGCUGGACUGAACCGAACACGACAAGUUCCUCGAGGCUCUUCAUCUCGCUCACAUAUAUUGCUGACAAUUACAAAUCCAUCCGAGUCACUUCUCAAUGAACUUAGGACUGUUGAGGAGUUGGAUCUGAUCAGAAUGAAACAGAGGGCAAAGAGGCUAAAGUCGGUGAUACCAAAACUGAGGUCAAAGUUACUUUCAUCAUCCGUAUACAAGGGUUGGUGACGUUUUGAAUCUUGUUCUUGUUCAAUAUUUUUGCUUCCUAAAUUUUCAGUCUGAUUUCCCCCCUUUGUUGUAGCAAAAAUGAUAUGCAUCCAAAAACUAGGAACAUCUUGUACAGGUUGAGAUUGAGGAAAGUUUUCAGUGGUGUAUUUAUGAAGGAAACUGAGGGUGUGACGGAGAUGCUGCAGAAGGUGGAGCCAUAUGUCACAUAUGGUUAUGGAGGCAACUUUUCUUUCUUUCAAGUUCCCCUUUUUCUUUUUCUCGGUAAAUGUAUAACGGUGAAUCUAAUUUUGUAAAAACUCAUAAAUUUUAAUGUGCUUCUCCAUGCGUGUUGAUGAUUUUCUUCCUCUGGUAUAUUGCUUAUUGUCGAUUUAUUAGUGCCUACUUUAAUUGCCUUCAACUUCUUGUAAGGCAUGUGUAACCGUUGCUUAUGCUUGACGAAUUUGUCAAAUUAUCCUCCGUAUUUCCGUAGUUCAUGCAAAUGAUCCUCAAGUUAUUUAGCAUUUUUGAAAUUAUUGUAUUGGAUAGUCUUUCCUUUAGGGAAUUGCUGGAGGUUUUAGAAUGCAUCACUUUUUCACUGCAUGUUUAUUUUGGUUGGGUUAUAUGCAAGUCUUUUUCUGAAUCUGGUUCACUAUCUUCAGACAUGUCUAUGAAUACUUGGUGGCACAACAAAAGGAAAAAAGGUCUAAAGGUGGAAAAGGAACCAUCUUCAGUAUUGAAGAAUUUAUACCAUUGUUGAGAGAGCUCAUGAAUGUCCUAAAUCCCCAUGUCCGUAAGCUUGUGGUUGGAUGGAUAACUGUAUUGGAUAGUGUUCCAGAUAUUGACAUGUUGGGUUUCCUCCCUGAUUUUCUUGAUGGUUUAUUUAAUAUGUUAAGUGAUUCUAAUCGUGAAAUACGGCAGCAAGCUGAUUCAGCACUUUCAGAGUUUCUCCAAGAGAUUAAGAACUCUCCGGUCAAGAGUUGCCAUUGCCCUCAAAAUUGUUGUACUGCACUACUGCUGUUAUGUUUUCCUUUCAAUUUUAAGUUGUUGUUUUG